AAGUCGUAACAAGGUUUCCGUAGGUGAACCUGCGGAAGGAUCAUUAUUAAUUCUUUCAGUGAAGCGGCUGCGUGUUAACGCGUGCAGUCGUUUUUCUUGUGAACUGGGGUUGUUGCUUGAGUUUAAUCGCUUUAAGUGGCAGCCUGUCGUUAAUGCUCUUGUGUUAAUUUUUUUUUGUUUUUGCUUUUUUAAGCUUAACCGCUUAAGAAAAUAAUUACAAGACAACUUUCAGCAAUGGAUCUCUUGGCUCUU
rnacentral:misc_RNA from 1 species